rnacentral:rRNA from 1 species
AUUGAACGCUGGCGAAAUGCUUUACACAUGCAAGUCGAACGGCAGCACGGACUUCGGUCUGGUGGCGAGUGGCGAACGGGUGAGUAAUGUAUCGGAACGUGCCUAGUCGUGGGGGAUAACGUAGUGAAACUUACGCUAAUACCGCAUACGAUCUGUGGAUGAAAGCGGGGGAUCGCAAGACCUCGCGCGAUUGGAGCGGCCGAAAUCAGAUUAGGUAGUUGGUGGGGUAAAGGCCCACCAAGCCAACGAUCUGUAGCUGGUCUGAGAGGACGACCAGCCACACUGGAGCUGAGACACGGUCCAGACUCCUACGGGGGGCAGCAGUGGGGAAUUUGGACAAUGGGCGAAAGCCUGAUCCAGCCAUUCCGCGUGCAGGAUGAAGGCCCUCGGGUUGUAAACUGCUUUUGUACAGAACGAAAAGGUUUCUACUAAUACUAGGAGCUCAUGACGGUACUGUAAGAAUAAGCACCGGCUAACUACGUGCCAGCAGCCGCCGUAA